rnacentral:rRNA from 1 species
AACUUGACCUCAAAUCGAGUAGGACUACCCGCUGAACUUAAGCAUAUCGAUGAGCGGAGGAAAAGAAACUAACAAGGAUUCCCCUAGUAAC